rnacentral:rRNA from 1 species
UACGUAGGGUGCAAGCGUUGUCCGGAAUUAUUGGGCGUAAAGAGCUCGUAGGCGGUCUGUCGCGUCUGCUGUGAAAUCUCAGGGCUUAACCCUGAGCUUGCAGUGGGUACGGGCAGACUAGAGUGCGGUAGGGGAGACUGGAAUUCCUGGUGUAGCGGUGAAAUGCGCAGAUAUCAGGGGGAACACCGGUGGCGAAGGCGGGUCUCUGGGCCGUAACUGACGCUGAGGAGCGAAAGCAUGGGGAGCGAACAGG